GCCGGUGUGGCUAAGCGGUUAGAGCAUUGGCCCAAGCACCAAAGAAUCAUGGGCUCAAUUCCCAUUCAAGGGCA
rfam:Myotis lucifugus cont2.40596, whole genome shotgun sequence.